AAAGAAACCAUUCCCGAAGAUUUUUACCACCACUUUUACAGCAAAUCAUGAAUGGAAACUGAAUUGUUAUAGAAGAUGUUACAGAGGAGCAUACUACUUCCAAAAACCUGAUUUGAUUGUCACUAACUUUCAAAUUGAAGGGGAUCUACUACAACUGCUCAUGAAUUUUGAGAUUUUACAUCUAAUAGAGGAACAAAUUUUAUCUGCUUCCACUUAGACAAACAGCAUGGAAAUGUGCUAUUGUAAUGAGUAGAAGAUAUUUGUCAUUUAGAAUAUCAUGUGUCAUUGACUUAUGAAAACAAAAUGCAACAGCUAAUUAUCAGUCCACACAUUUCAAGAUGAGGAAAAGAACAGUAUAAGCUACAUUCAUUGGUGCAUUAUUUAUACCAAAAUGUAUAGUCAACCCAGUCAUCACUCCAUUUUUUUAUGAAGCCAGUUACAGUUACAAUGAA